CGAACCCUAGCCAUUCCCAAAAACAUCCAGCGAUUUCCAGCUGUUUUCAGCCAUUUUUGGCUAAGUUUCAGAAGCUCUUGCUUUCCCCAGUCAUUGCUUACACAUUUUGGGCAAAAUAUUUAUUGAUCUAGUUUUCUUUUGGGCAUUUUCUACUUUUCAACGGUAAUGUGUCUCUCUUUUUCGAUUUUCAAUUAAUUUUUGCUUGACUUCUCUUGUAAGAUUUAGAUUUCAAAGGUUCCAUACGAAUUUGAGUUAGGAUUUGAAUUCCAAGACUAUUUUCUAAAAGUCCCACAUCGUUUGAAGUCCAAAAAUUGGGACUUUUGGUUCUCCUAUAAAUAGGACCCUCUCCCGUUCAUUUUAAAAAAGGUUCUGAGAUAAAAAAAAUGGUUCUUACACCAAUGGUGGGUUUUCACAACCCCCUAGAGUGAGAACACUCAGGAACCCGGCUAAGCCGUUGAGUUUCGAGGAAGUUCUCAUUCAUACUUUAAUUUUUGGAAGUCGUUUCUGCUCAUCAGAAUACGAUUCGGGUGAAAGGUGGUUCAUCAACUCCCAUCUCCCCGUUGCUGCUCGGCAAAAAGGUAACCUUUAGUUUCCUUUCUCCUUCAAUUUUAUUCUUAAUUUCUACUUAGUAUGUUAUUAGUGCAUGAUUAGUAUUUUAGCACUUGUGUGUGUUACUGUUUAAAUUAGACUAGCUUGCAGUUAUAUAGGAUGGAGGCUGUGUAGUAGGGUGAUGAGGAUUAUUGUGUGUGCACUGGUUUGGUAUAGCUGUUAGUAUAGCUUAGCUCAAGUUUGAUUAAUGUGGAGUGAAUAUUUAGUUGUGAGCUAUAAGUUCUUUAAGUUGAAAUGCUCAUUUUUACAUGGUCCAUAACUGGCAGUUUGUUGUGACAAUUACUUGAACUUAUGGAUUGAUAGUUCUUAUACUCUUAGUAUUGUUGGUUAAGAUGUUUUAGAUCCCCUUUGAUUCAAAUUGAAGGCAGCAGGUUGAUUAUAAUACAAGUUUGUUUGUUGGUAUUGCUGCUUAGGUGAAAGCUUACUUCUAGUUGUCUUAGAUUCAAAUCACAAUAUAAGUUAAUGUUUGUUUAAACCUAUAUAAAUAUGAAUGGGCUGUUGAACUCUGUAGCUAAAGCAAGGUUUAUGUAGGCUUAAGAUGUCCAUAUGAGUAAUUUAGUUCUCUGUUGAAUGCAUUUCAUGCUCAGUUUCGUUUAGAUGUUUUCGAAUGCAUUCACACUGAGUGUUGAAUCCCCAAAAAUGGUCUUGAUAUGCUUACUACUUAAGAUUACUGAAAUGAGAAAUGUGGAAAGUGUUCUAAUUUGGAAUCCCACUCCCAAAUCCCUUAAGUCUAAAAGCACAUCUCCAGUUUCAGUCCUCUUUAAAGUGAUUGAUAGAAAAUGGUUGUUGAUCUUGAUUUGCAUGAAAGGUCUAUUCAUCUUUUGAAAGUGUAAUCUCAAAUGGUUUGACUUACAACUUAUUUUGGUUAUCACAUCAGUCUAUUUAACUUGUCAAAGGUUUAGCAACUGCUAUGUUUAAUUGUUGAUUAUAUUUGUAUAUGAGAAGGUCAUCGAAUGACUAGUAUGAAAGAAAUCCAUGAGUUUACCAGUUCAGCAGUAUUCCUGCCUCUGUUUGGAAUUCCUAGAUCAUGUAUGAAGUCUUAUUUUUGUGUGGCAUGUUGCACCAAUACUUGUCUGAUUUGUUCUGGAUUACUGAAGUCCACAAUCCUUGCCUAAGUGUAGAAUUUGCUUCAGUGAUUAGUCUUAUUUCAAUCAAGUAUGCAAACUUCUGAAAUAAGAAAGAUGGGGUGGUAGAGUUAGAAUGUGUUCAUGUGUUCAACUAGCUCCUCCUAUACUAAAAGUUAAAAGAGAUCUGUUAUAGGUAUUGCUACCUUCUCGAGUGUUAAUAUUUGGUUCUUAAGUUGAUAUCAAAGCUCUGUGGUCUGGUAGUAUUUGAUCUAUGUGUGAGUCUGACCAAACUGAUUGAAGUUCCCCAAUGCUAGUUCUUCCAUAUUCUUGUUCAGACAUUAAGUUCUAAAGCAAAAUAUGCUAUGUCGUCACAUAUAGAGUACUACUAAAUGAUUUUCUUAAGUCUAAAUACAUGUUUGGUUGAGGUUCUAACUUGUUCAAGUUUUAAGGAGCUGUCUUAUCCCCAAACUGAAACAGUGUUGUCUAACCAACAGAAUCUUCAACUUUUGAAAGUGUUUGUUAAGACUAGUUAUAUCCCUCUUUUGUGAUUCAAUCUGCAUUUAAAGCAUUUCCUGAUAAGUUUAAGAAGUAGGAGAACUAAGGGCAUUUAUCUAAGGCUGUCACCUUCCCCAAACCUUGGUUUGUGCAAAUGAUUGAAGUUCUUCCUUUUAAAAGUAUUGUCUUGAAAGAGUCAGUCACUGUUGUUGUAUAGAGGCAGUUCUAUAUUCAGUUUUUUCAAAACAAUUGCUGGUUUGAUAUUGAGGACUUUUCUAGUGGUAUAAAUGGUUUCAAAAGGUUGUGGUCUAGUGGUUCACCGUGUGUUAAGUUGAUGUGUUUACUUUAACUUUCUUUAUACUGAAUGCGAGUAGGAUCAAUAUCUUUAGCACACUUUGUGUGACAUUAACAAACGUGUUUUACUUCAUCUAUGAUUGAGUUGUGGGGAUCACGCUUUAAGUGUUCUGUUGAAUCAAAUUUAUUUCUAAGAAAUAGGUUCUAGUUUAAUUAUACAGGUUAACUGUGUGAAUGGAAACUAUAUUCUUGUUGUGGUAUUUGCCUAGUCUUUAAGUUCACACUCUAAGCUCACUUUUUCCUGAAAGCCAAGGUAAGCUUCGAGUUCGGUUUAGCCUCCUCCAAUAGCCUGCCGUGCGGAGGUUCUAGAAACCUUUGGAUCUUGUGUGGCAUUGGAAAUAUGGAUGGUAGUAGCCCCUUUUGUUGCCUGUAUAUUUAAGCUUGAAGACCUAUGCUAUGAUGUAUUAUGGUCAGGCUUUGAAGGUUCAUCUUCCAUUAAAGCAUCAUUAUGUAUGUUAGCUAUCCGUAUCUUUUCAAAUAAAUAUAUCUCUAGGUUUCUGUGUUUAGAAUUAAUAGACCUUUGGGUUUCUGAGGCAUUCUGGAAAUUUUGAUCAUGUUAUGACCUGUUUGAACCAAGUUGUGGUAUUUAAAACAAUGGAGCACUUUGUUUGAUAUUAUCUUGUGAGAAUUUCAUAUACUUCUUGAUUCUUGUUAUUCACCCAUUCCAUUUUUUGCAUGACUUCGGGGGGAGUUUCAAAAUGUUAAACAUCCUGAGGACGCUUCAAUAAAAUAUUGCACUUUAGAAGGAUUGCUAGUUGUGCUUUGGUAUCGUUUUAAGGGGCUGGCUAACUUGUUUUGGAUGAUCAUUUUGAGACUGUCUGAUAUUAGUCAUGCCUUGAGUUAUGCUUGUGCUCUUCCUCUACUUAACUGCUUAUGUGUUGAUAAAAGUGAAAUAAGGAAACUUACAUGAUAGCUUAAGUAAACAAGAAGGGAUCAUUGUUGAUGCAUAUUACCUGUGUAUUUUAGAAUCAUGUCGUUGGUUCAAAAAAAUCAGAAUUUGAUACUUUCUGUUAAAUAGCAAGUGUUUUAACUAAGUGCUUGUCCUUUCUGAGUGCAUAAGGUUCAAGGUAGUCUCUUCCUUGAUAAGGUUCUGAUAAAAAAUUUAGAAACUGAUAGCUAAGUUAUCGUGUGUUUGUUUUUGGCUUGUUUGAAAGAACUGUUCAAAGUCACUAAGUUAGAGGGAGAUGAAUGUGUCUUUGACUAUUUGAGAAUACAUUUAAUAUCAUGGUUCAUAAUCUUCUCUGUUGCUUUACAUAAAAAAUGCUAAGUCUAAAGGUUAGCUAUUAUCACAUGUUUAAUGAUGCUAUGAUUCUCUUAUUAGUACACAACCAAGUGACUUGCUACUCUCUUAAAGAAUGCAGCAUGCCUCUGAAAAAAUUAUGUGUUUGGAAUGUUUAGUUAAAGAAGCAAACUGCCCAAAGACAUGUUUAUGUAUUAUAGGUUACCUCUGUUUGUCUGAAGCAUAGAUCAAGUUUUUUUUUUUUUUUUUUGUAAAAAAAGAUUAGAUCCGGUUUCCACAUUCCACUAUGCUUUAAAGGAGUUAAAACUCAGUUUGUUCUUCUCUUAUACUCGAGUUCGUAGUUAAGUUGUUUUCAGUUGUAAUAGUAAGCUGAUGAUGUCACUUGAUAUUUCAUUUGAUUCUCUUAAAAAUUCCUUAAGGACUUAUUACCUCAUUGUUUAAAUAAUGUCAAAGUUUUCACUAGAUGGGGUUAAAUGAUCUCUUGAUGUUGAGAAGUAAAAAUGGAUGCAUUAAGUUCUUUUAAGUGAAAACUAAGUACCAACUGCCUCUUUGUUCGGCUAGAUUCUUUUACUUGAUUGUUUAGAAUCUCAAAAUUGUGUGAGGAAUCCCCAGAUUGGUCCUGAUAAACUUGCUGCUUGAUAUAAUGUUUAAAACUAUCGAAUUAAGAAAAGGGGAUCAGAUAUUAAGAACACUAAUUUCAUGUUGUGUUUUGAAAUUCGCUCACUGUUUUGAUACACUUAAUAUGCCUACAUUGGAAUAUUGAAACUACUCGCUUUGGGAUACUCAUUUUCACCCCUCUUUUCUUUGCAUGACUUGGGAAUUUUCAAAUCCCAAAAUGUUUCGGAGUUGCUUGGGAACUUGGAAAAAAUUGGCUGCACUCGUAAGGUCCUCAAAAGGGCUGUACUUGAAAAAAGUUACUGCUGCUACAUUCUACCAUAUCAAGUUUGCUGCUGUACUUGAAUAAAGUUACUGCAUUUUGGAGAGGUUUCUUGCUGCAAACCUUGAAGCAGCAUCUGUUGAUAUACCUGGCUGAACAGAUCCCUUGUUUUGAUAUCUAUUAUGGGACAAAUUUGCUGCUUGUUGUUGGUUGUUGUAGCAUGUUACUGCUAUGAUUGAACUGUUGCUACAAGUUGUACCUUGUCGUAGCUGCCUGUGUUUGCUGCUUCCUGCUUAUGCUCGCUGUUGUAGCAUGUUAUUGAUUUGCUGCUUUUUUAAAAGUUCGGGACAAAAUAGCAUUUACCUUUUGGUGAAUAGCUGCAAAAAGAACAGAUCCCAUACUUGAUGCUUUCUCAGAUGAGUUGCUUAUAUGUUUGACGACUAAGCUGCUGCCUUUAUAUGAAGAAAAAUGAGCAGUUACUCUGCUAGAAGGUGCACAGGGAGACAGAUUUGACCCAUAGCUGCCUAUUUGAAGAUUUCAUAGAGAGCUCCAUUUCCUUCGGAGCCAUAUCUUUUGGGUACUCAUUCUUUUGUGUAUAUAAUUAUGGGCAUAGCGGGGUCCUGUCCCGCUCGUGAUAUGUCAUACUCUUAGAGGCUCGUAGUCAUGUGUAUGUGGGUAGAGAUGUUUGGCCAUGUCGGCCUAUGUUUUGUAUAUCUUUUGUUGGCCUCGUCGGCCUUGUAUAUUUGACAUGGCAUAGAUGCCCAUGAUAUGUUAAUUGAUGAUGGUCGUCCAAUGGGACUAGCUUGAUUAAUGAUUUAAAAUGCAUGAAAUGAAUUAUGGUU